rnacentral:rRNA from 1 species
GUCUAUAGCUAUACCAGCUUGAACACACCCAAUCUCAUCUGAUCUCAGAAGCUAAGCAGGAUUGGGCCUGGUUAGUACUUGGAUGGGAGAAAAGAAUGUCGAAGGGAUUAAGUAAU